UAGAGAUAUAUAUAUUGACGAAACAAAAAAGAAUCUGACGCCAUGCGAAAAGAGCGGGAAAGUUAUGUUAACGGGAAGGGAAAUGAUUAAGAGUUUUAAUGGGGAAAUCAACACUUGUAUAUAGCUGCUAAUUCUUGAGCUGAUGUAUUCGGAUCUUUUAAUGGAAGGCACAUAACUAAAAAUUUAUCAACAUGUAAAAGAGCACGUACAUUA